rnacentral:lncRNA from 1 species
GCCCCGCCUCUUGCCCUCGCUCGCCCGUCCGCCGCCGGAGCACCUGCAGCAGGGGGCUCGCAGGUGCUGGGCACGCCCUGGCUGCGGUGGCAGAAAAUGCAAACCCGGGCUGAGGACGCGACGUCUUCCCAAAGGAGCGGAUUUCUUAUUCCUGCAAAGGAAGGGAAUGAGCGGAGGCCAUCUGCAUAAGGCCAGGAAGCUGGACAGAGCCUGGCAGCAGGAGAGGAUCGCGCAGGAUCGCACAGUGAGACGGCAGCAUGCCGACUGGAAACACCAGCGGGGGUCACACAAGGGAGCGGCUAGCGGCACGCAGCCUGCACGGUUGGGCCGGGCCCAGAGCCGAGUCCUGAAGCUGGUGGUUACUUUCCGGGGGGUGCUGAGCCGGCUGCGGCCGGGUCAUGUGCAGCGCGUAACUUGCGGUGGAGAAGCGCCGGCCCGGCACCACGCAGACCGUGCCCACGAGUGGGCCGCAGCUUGGAUGCAGGGCCACCGCCACCUCCUGCCGCCCGAGCGAGAGGUCUGUGCUGGUCACGAGAUGGUGAUGGUGGCCUUGCUACCGCCCCAGGGCGAGUCCUGUUCCCACCUUCAUUUCCUACUUCUCAGCCCAGCCCCGAUCCUAUCUCUCAUGUCAACCAGGCUGGAAACGGGAAAACGGGGAAUCCUUUCCCAAGCCACGCCCAGGGAGCUGGGCUGCACUGUCCUGGCCCGGGGGCCAUGGCCACCCAGGGCUCCAAGUCUGAAGCUGAAUGCAAGCAGGUUUAGCAGGUACGAAGUGAAGACAGUAACUUAAAAAACAUUGACUGCGUGUUGAGAUGAUAACAUUUUGGAUAUAUGAGUUAAAUAAAAAUAUAUUAAGGAGGCCA